CGCUGGCGGCAUGCCUUACACAUGCAAGUCGAACGGCAGCGACGGGAGCAAUCCUGGUGGCGAGUGGCGAACGGGUGAGUAAUAUAUCGGAACGUGCCCAGUCGUGGGGGAUAACGUAGCGAAAGCUACGCUAAUACCGCAUACGAUCUACGGAUGAAAGCGGGGGAUCGCAAGACCUCGCGCGAUUGGAGCGGCCGAUAUCAGAUUAGGUAGUUGGUGAGGUAAAGGCUCACCAAGCCGACGAUCUGUAGCUGGUCUGAGAGGACGACCAGCCACACUGGGACUGAGACACGGCCCAGACUCCUACGGGAGGCAGCAGUGGGGAAUUUUGGACAAUGGGCGCAAGCCUGAUCCAGCAAUGCCGCGUGCAGGAUGAAGGCCUUCGGGUUGUAAACUGCUUUUGUACGGAACGAAACGGUGAGCUCUAAUACAGUUUGCUAAUGACGGUACCGUAAGAAUAAGCACCGGCUAACUACGUG
rnacentral:rRNA from 1 species